rnacentral:rRNA from 1 species
AUUGAACGCUAGCGGCAGGCUUAACACAUGCAAGUCGAACGAGUGGCGGACGGGUGAGUAAUGUAUGGGGAUCUGCCUGAUGGAGGGGGAUAACUACUGGAAACGGUAGCUACUACCGCAUACCAUCAGAUCACCCCAUAUGGGAUUAGCUUGUUGGUUGGGUAAAGGCUCACCAAGGCCACGAUCCCUAGCUGGUCUGAGAGGAUGAUCAGCCACACUGGGACUGAGACACGGCCCAGACUCCUACGGGAGGCAGCAGUGGGGAAUAUUGCACAAUGGGCGCAAGCCUGAUGCAGCCAUGCCGCGUGUAUGAAGAAGGCCUUCGGGUUGUAAAGUACUUUCAGUCGGGAGGCGUUACCGACAGAAGAAGCACCGGCUAACUCCGUGCCAGCAGCCGCGGUAAUAC